CUGGGGACUCACAGGCACCAAGGACACUUCUAAAUAUCUGGCUUCUUUCAGAUCAGCAAAGAGCCAUCUUACUCAACCCCAGGUUACAAUGGAAUCAGAACAUGAAUCAGACCCCUCAGGGAUGAGGGUCACCACGAGGGAAGUCACCAGAAUAAACAUAUGUGCUGAAGGGCAAGAGAAACAUGGAAAGAGAGAGAAUAGAGAUGAGGGGCUGCCUGGGCCUGAGGUUCCACUAAUGCGGAAAUUCAUCAUCAUAUCCAUGUGUUAACAUCACCAAGAAACUGACAAAUCGAAAGACCCUGAUACUGACAGUGAAAGUUUAAG